GAUGAACGCUGACAGAAUGCUUAACACAUGCAAAUCAACUUGAAUUUGGGUUUUUAACUUAGGUUUGGGUGGCGGACGGGUGAGUAACGCGUAAAGAACUUGCCUCACAGCUAGGGACAACAUUUGGAAACGAAUGCUAAUACCUAAUAUUAUGAUAAUAGGGCAUCCUAUAAUUAUGAAAGCUAUAAGCGCUGUGUGAGAGCUUUGCGUCCCAUUAGCUAGUUGGAGAGGUAACGGCUCACCAAGGCGAUGAUGGGUAGCCGGCCUGAGAGGGUGAUCGGCCACAAGGGGACUGAGACACGGCCCUUACUCCUACGGGAGGCAGCAGUGGGGAAUAUUGGACAAUGGACCGAGAGUCUGAUCCAGCAAUUCUGUGUGCACGAUGAAGUUUUUCGGAAUGUAAAGUGCUUUCAGUUGGGAAGAAAAAAAUGACGGUACCAACAGAAGAAGUGACGGCUAAAUACGUGCCAGCAGCCGCGGUAAUACGUAUGUCACGAGCGUUAUCCGGAUUUAUUGGGCGUAAAGCGCGUCUAGGUGGUUAUAUAAGUCUGAUGUGAAAAUGCAGGGCUCAACUCUGUAUUGCGUUGGAAACUGUAUAACUAGAGUACUGGAGAGGUAAGCGGAACUACAAGUGUAGAGGUGAAAUUCGUAGAUAUUUGUAGGAAUGCCGAUGGGGAAGCCAGCUUACUGGACAGAUACUGACGCUGAAGCGCGAAAGCGUGGGUAGCAAACAGG
rnacentral:rRNA from 1 species